CCGGGGGCUCGGGGACCGCCCCGGGAGGGCACUCACCAUGUUGACUUCGGAAACCAUGUCGAUGCUGGCGAUGUCGAUGUUCAUCCCCACGCAGACCGGGGGACCUGCGGGAAGCGCGACACGGCGUCAGCCCAGCUCCGAGACGGUAAAACACCUGCCUUUUCUGGGACCUCCCGGAGCUGUCCAUGGUCCUUAAGAUAACGCCGGGGCCCUGCUUCCCAGUGACAGGCCUCUAUCCUUCGGCGGUCAUUAGAAGACACUGGCGCACUGGCACGAGGAACCUGGUGUACCACUUCACACCGGGUGCACCUGCCCUCUGGACCAUCACCGCACACCUAAGGGGCCGCUCCCCCCCCAGCAGGGGUCGUAUAUGUUUCUUUAGUGAAUGAUCCCCAAUAAAGUUUCUCUGUGCCUGGAACUUCUAGUAUUGAGGAGGAAGGUUACACAAUCCUUCUUGUAACCAACUAACAAAACCUACACAUCAAGCUCGUUUUUGUGUUCUGUAGACUUCUUCAGGUUAUUCUAGGACUUAAUGAAUGGGUAAUAAUAGAUAA